AGCUCAGCAUAUCUCGGUCAUAUG
rnacentral:siRNA from 1 species